UCUUUAUUGAGCUACAUUUUGUAUUGUGCUAUGCAUAACAUAUGCAUAUUCACCAAGCAUAAACCAGAUGGAAUGUCAUUCACAAGCACACAACUUAUUUCUGCAAUCACAUCACCAAUAAUUAGAAUCUCAGCACCAUCAGUAAAUAAAUAACUAAUUUCAAAAUGUAUUCUCAAGUACUCUGUAAGUUGUCAAAACGACUGGCAUUACAUAGGAACGCCAGUUAAACACCUCAAAGACCACAGUUCCUCAAAUAAACAUCUCAAAUCACUGCAAAAAAAGAUCUCCAUCACCUCACAUAUCUGUGCAUUUCAAAGACAUCAUCAACAUAAUUUGGGAGCGACACUCCUGGAGAUUAUUUAGUAUUACAUUCACUGAAUAAAUAUAGAUUUUUAAGAUACAACUAUUACACACUCAUUCACUCAUCAUCUGUUUGAUGCCUGUAUUAGCUAGGCAUAACUUUGUUGUCAUGAGUUUAGUGACUGGAGUUCAGUUUUCUGUAUGAAGGAGACCUUUCAGCAUGAGAUUGUGAGCAUACAUGACCGAAAAACACAAAUCCAUUCUGGCAUUGACUGCACAAGUCCAAACUAGAAAAGAUAACACAAACAAGGGUCAUGGUUGGCCUAAAGUUUAAAAUGGACUAUGGACUACUAAAUGUCUAUCCGUCACCCCAUUUUAAUCAGCACUGAUCUGUGUACCUGCAGUUCAUGGGGACAAUAGUCUGUGGUCUUGUGUGAGAUGCCCAGGGUGGAUAUGGCAUGACAGGCAUAAACAACUGACUGUGGUACUAGCACAAAGUUUCUAAACCCAGAGGCGCAACAUCGCAAGCUUUCCAGGAAUACUUGUGAUAUAGACCAACAGACCCAGCUUGGGCUUCGGGUUUGAGAAGUCCAUUUUAUUUAACUAGUUAAGAAUUUACAAUGAAGGCCUACCAUGACGAAACCCAGACAACGCUGGGCCAAUUGUGCGCCGCCCUAUGCGACCCCUAAUCAUAACCAGUUGUGAUACAGGGCCACUAACCAGGGCCUGUAGUGACACCUCUAGCACACAUAUGCACCACUCUGGAGCCCAAAUGAGAGUCUAACAGUAUUCCAUAGUUGUUAAUUUUCUCGAAAUCAAAAAUUUGUGCCAAUGUUUUAAGUAGUUAAACGUUAUUACAACAACCUCAUAAAAGUGACAGACAGAUACGUUGUCAUUUUCGUCACCAACAACUUUAUAUCGAAGGAGCGCCUUUGAUAUGACGGCUUUCACAUGGGCAGUUCGGCGCCAGAUGACCGUUAGACCCGAUGACGUGUUUUUACGUAUGAGCUUAGCUAGCCAACGCCUUCAUGGCCUCGCCUAGACUUAUGGUAGGCGAUUUUGAUUAGAGAAGCACUUUAAGACUGGCCCUUUUUUUUGCCUGUCUUCAUACUGUUCUAUUUUUGAUGUGGCUUUUGACAGACGUUCCUUUCCCGGAAGAGAGUGUAAACAUGGGGGACCACGUGACAUCUAACGGACAGGGAUUUAAAGGAACAGGAAAAAGCAUAGUGCAUGAACACUUUGGUUUAAAAUAACACGAGUAGCUGAAAUUGAUUGUAUAUCAUAAUUGUCAGUGUUAACAAACAAAAAAAUAUGGUGUUUGUUUGCACCCCUUUUCCAAAGUACUGUUACAUGUUUCCAUGUUUCUGCAGGAGGUUGGAAAUUGUUGCUAACUGCACAACUAUAUUGGCGUAAUGAGCAGUACGAGAAGAGUGAAUCCACAUUAGGACCAUGUCUCAGAUCUCAGCUGAGGAGGAGUCUGAACUUCAGUCUGUUGAGGCAACUGCUAAAAAGCAUCAAGACAGAAUCUCAGGUGCAUCUACCAAUUUAACGUGCAGAGGAAAUAUUGCUUAAUCUGGAGGAGAUGGACAAGAACUUCCAUAAUUGUGAAUUUGUUAAGUACCUGCGGCAGUAUGUGGAAAGCUCUCUGAGAGCCGUUAUCGAGGAGGUGACAGAGAGAUGUAACAGGAGAGGGACAUGCUGUUGGGUCCGGUCAGGACACCUUGGUUCAUGCUGUUACAAGGAGGACUAGAGAAUCUGGAGAGUAUGUAUGGUGUCUCUAUAAAGCAUUCUCAGUGAAGACUUGUCACAAGUGACUUCUGAUGAACUUUAUCCUUUACCGUAUUCCCAACAUGGCUCGUCACUUACUUCACAGAAUAUGCCAUUGCUUACAGGGAGUCUAAAGUCUAUGUGCUUGUGUGCUUCACAAUGAAUACAAUCUUGAAGCAAUAGCGGCAAGGUAAAAAUCUGUCGUUCUGCCCCUGAGCAAGGCAGUUAACCCACUGUUCAUGGCACCAAAGAAGUGGAAGUGGAUUAUGGCAGCCCUCUGCACUCCUCUGAUUCAGAGGGUUGGGUUAAAUGCAGAAGACACAUUUCAGUUGCAUGCAUUCAGUUGUACAACUAACAAG